CCUACGGGAGGCAGCAGUGGGGAAUAUUGGGCAAUGGGCGCAAGCCUGACCCAGCAACGCCGCGUGAAGGAAGAAGGCCCUCGGGUUGUAAACUUCUUUUGUCAGGGACGAAGAAAGUGACGGUAGCGGACGAAUAAGCCACGGCUAACUACGUGCCAGCAGCCGCGGGAAUACGUAGGGGGCAAGCUUUAUCCGGAUUUACUGGGUGUAAAGGGCGUGUAGGCGGGACUGCAAGUCAGAUGUGAACUACCAGGGCUCAACCCUGGAACUGCAUUUGAAACUGUCGUUCUUCAGUGAUGGAGAGGCAGGCGGAAUUCCGUGUGUAGCGGUGAAAUGCGUAGAUAUACGGAGGAACACCAGUGGCGAAGGCGGCCUGCUGGACAGUAACUGACGCUGCGGCGCGAAAGCGUGGGGAGCAAACAGGAUUAGAUACCCGGGUAGUC
rnacentral:rRNA from 1 species